CGGUGCGUCACUUCCUGCGCGGGGAGGCAGGAAUGGAAAACGAAAAUAAGAGUUUUUGUUUUCGUGAAAUAAACCGCAACUAAAACCCUCUCCCUCCAGAGUGUUACCAGGACAUGUCCUACCAUGCCUGUCUGUGACAUCUGCUGUGAAGAGCUCGUGUCCGAAUCGGACCUGAAAACUCAUCUUCUCCUGAGCCACUUGGAAAAUGUGAUGAGCUGUCCAUUUUGUUCACUGUCAGGUGUCUCCUACGAUGAGCUGAACUUCCACAUAGGCACAGCACACGAAGAGAAAGAGCUGGACCUCCAGGACACACUUGCUGCAGAUGACAGUGCUGCAGAAAGUGGGCAAAGAAGCUCAGCGGACUCUGUUCAAAAUCAGACAUAUCCAAGCCCCUUUAUAACUGAUGCCCUUACGGUAAAAUUGGAGAAUUCAUCAGCUACUUGUAACUCAGGGCUGAAUCCAGCUUCCCCUCUGCCUGCUAGUCACAUGUUCUGUCAGGAUAACAGGAUGGCUGCUCCCAAUGCAGGAAUUGCUCUUACUCAGGAUCAAGGAGCCACAUCCAGCAUCAAAUCUUCACCCCGUGCUACAGCCACACCAAAAGGGAUUAAAAAAUUGGUUGGACCUCCACCAGCACCCAGCAUGAACAAUGAAAAGGACAACACAACAGAGCAUCGCAAAUCAAAACAGAAACGCCUGUCUUCCCCCAAUAAAGAGAAGCUGUUUUCCUGUCCCUUCUGUAGUCUGGUCUGCGGCGACUGUUUCAUUCUUCAGGAACACGUGGAGCUGCACCUUCAACACCAGGCCACAUCUGAAGCAACUAUUCCUGAAGCAGGCACGUCAGCGCAAGUGUGUUCUUCAGCAAGAAAUGAAUCAGGUUUACAGCUGUAUGAAUGCCCGAUGUGUUCUGCGGCCUUUGUGGAUAACAGCUCACUGCAGGAGCAUGUGGAGCUGCAUCUGGACUAUGGUACAGCCGCUGCUGCAGGGGAUUUGCCUGAAGACAUAAAGCUGGUCCAACAGCUCCAGGAGGAAGAGGAGAAGAAGAGAAAGGAAGAAGAGGCCAAGAGGGAGGAAAAAGACUUCAAACAGUUGCAGAAGGUUUUUGGGAUGGAUAACAGCGGCGGCUACCGCAGGCAGAUGGAGCGGAAUAUGGAGCGAGCUGUGAGCCGAGGUCAGAUGGCCCCUGCUGAAUUUCACCGGAAACGAGCAGAAAUGAUGGAAUCUCUGGCCUCAGGAGUGGAUGACAGCCGCACCAGAACCAUGGGUGUUCUGGAGGCACUGUAUGAGUUUUAUCAGCGCGAGGCUCGUGAUAUUGCCCACGUGUGGCUGUGCGCUGAAACUGACCACUAUUCCACCUCAGGUGGAGACAAGGGCUGGGGUUGCGGCUACAGAAACUUCCAAAUGCUUCUGUCUGCGCUGAAGAGGAUGGAGCAGUACACUGCACCAAACACACUACCAGACUCCCUUCCCAGCAUUCCCCGGGUGCAGGCUCUGAUUGAGGCAGCCUGGGCGGAGGGCAUUGACCCUCAGGGGGCGUCCCACUUCAACAAGAACCUUCAGGGAACCCGGGCCUGGAUCGGAGCCACAGAAAUCUACGCCGUUCUCACUGCCCACAGAGUCAGGGCUCGUAUUGUGGAUUUCCACCAGCCCACUGGCCCAAGAAACACGCAUCCUAGACUGUUUGAGUGGGUGAAAAAUUACUUCUCUCUGCACUGUAGCAGGGGCUCUAGACUACCACCCAGAUUGGUGAAGACCAAUCUACCACCCAUCUACCUUCAACACCACGGCCACAGUCGAACCAUCGUGGGCAUAGAGGAGCGGAAGAACGGGAGUGUGUGUGCACUGCUGUUGGAUCCAGGCUGUUCUUCAGGAGACAUGAAGAAGCUGCUUAACUCAAACACCACUGCAGCUUUUCUUAGCCGCAUGCGCAAAUUCCCUGGUCACCUCAAACAUGCGCAGUAUCAGGUGGUGGUGGUAGAGGGAGUGUUAACUCCAGAGGAGAAACAGAUUGUCCGGGAAAUGACACUGUUGAAGAUUUUAAGUAUAGACUGAUAACCCACCGUGGCUUUCACCUCAUCUCUGGCAUCCUUUCUCCAGAAGAGGUUGACCAAAUCCAAAACUGGGAGAUUCAGGACUCUGAUGUUUUUGUUGUCACUUACCCCAAAUCAGGAACUAUCUGACUCCAGCAAAUCCUCAGUCUGAUUGAGGCCAGAAGAGACAUUGAGGCCACUAAAGAUCAGCUAACCUCUGAGCAUCUACCAUGGAUCAAGCUAAUCGGGAAUGAGGAGAAGUUUAUUUCAGCCACUCCACCCAGAAUCCGUGUCACACCCCUGCAGCACAGAUUCCUCCCCAUCAGCCUCAGACAGGGGACAGGCAAGGUAAGGAAGACUCCACUCAUCUUCUUCAAGCCAUAAUAGUGCAGAACAGCUCAACACUGCUUCAGCAGCCUGCUCUAUUUAUGACUUGUGAUGAAUAGUGAUGUUGUGCAAAUAAGUACAUCAUUCUUUUACUUAUGGAAUGUUACGUACAGCUGCUGAAAUUGCAAGGUGUAGAUUUUUUUGUGAUUGUUUUUACAUUUAUGCUUGUAUAUAUAGUUUUCUUGCACAACUGGCAAGUCUUCAAGUCUUCUAUUACAC